rnacentral:rRNA from 1 species
AUGCUGCACGAGCAUGAGCACCCUGCAGCAGAGGACAUUCCCGAAUCUGAUCCCGACGAGUGUGUAGUUGAUGUCAAGAAAACAGAGUUGCACAUACAAGAUAUACGUGAAGCGAAACUUUUGAUCCAAGAGCUGAAUCAAUCGGGCGUGGGAGAGGAUAUCAGCGAUGAGGAGUUCCUUGCUUACUUUGACCAGCUGGCUCCCGGGCCUCCGUGGGUUGAUCUCAAAGCUGGGCUGACAGAAGAGGGUCUCGUUCAGCAAUACGUCGACCAUGCACUGUGCCGCUUCAGAUAUUACAAAUACAAGUUGUCACAGCCCAAGGAAGAGCCGCAUGGUGAUAACCUUCUCGAGGAAGAAGAGGACGAUAAGGAAGAAAGGGAAUAUUUAGCUACAUUGACAGAGAAGCAACUUCUUUUCCUUGAGGAAGAUGACGCUACAUCGGAAGAGGAUGAUAACCUUAUGGAUAAAACUGAGCAUGACUGUAAUAUGGAGUUUCUUGAGGAGAAGGGAUUUUUCAUUAGCUUUGAAGAAGACGGAACACUCGAUUGGUUUUUCUACCCUGCUUACUGCGAAUGUGCUUCCCUGAGUGACUAUCAACGCCUAGUCCUAAAAAAUUAUGGUGGUACCGAGUACAGCAUGUGGAGUGACUACCAUAGCUACCUUCAUAGCUAUGAUAUUGAACGAGAGUAUCUCAAGUACUGCGAGGAAUUAUCCAAGCGACUGAAGUGGAUGGAAGAUUAUGUCGAUAUUUGCCGCUCAUCCGUCAAAUGGGGUAAAAUAUCUUCCCGAGGAGCAUUUCAAGCAAUUAAGAUUGCUGCUACUAGCUUUCCCAAGAUCACUCCUACUUUAGCUUACAAUGGCUUUGAUGAGUAUAAAGAGCGCAUUUGCUAUUAUCAUACUUGGUUUAAGGAGUAUGAUCGUUUGUACUUUGAGAUUUGGCGGCGGGUCACAAAGGGAACGAGUUUCUGA